CUGGCAAUUCUCAGUGUAGUAGCGUAGUAGCUAGUACCGCUGUGAUCCCUAUAAAACAGUGCAUGCACUGAGAGAAAAUAAUCAGAAGCCUGUGACAGGAAGGGGGGGAGGAUCAUGGCGAGUUCUCCUUCUUCCUUGCUACACGGAGUUGCGAUCCUUUCUCUCAUAUGCUGCUCCUUGUCAUGCUCGGCGGCGGCCGGAGAUGCAGUUGCUCUCGACGGACGUCGUAAUCACUGGAAACCUCCGCCGACUCCGUUGCCAGGGAACCAGCCCACUCCGGUGACUCCAGUUCCAACUCCAGUCCCAACUCCGCCGACUCCGGUGCCAGGGAGACCGGUGACUCCAUGUCCUCCAGUCUAUGUUCCUCCGCCACCGCCAACGCCCGUGCGCAGAUACCCGGUGACCCCAAGUCCUUCAACCCCUAUUUGUGGGCCGCCGCCGCCCCCGGUGCAGCGGGAGGUGUCGGCACUUUCGCCGCACCGCAAGACCCUACAGCAGGCUGUUAAGAACGUGCUUUAAUUAAGAAAGCACCAAAUGCUACCGCUCAGACAUAUUUUCUAUGAUAUACAAGGGGGCAGUGUUGCUAAUUAAUUAGGGUAUUAAAUAAUAUGGCAUCAGGCUGGUCAUAAUGAGGAGUUACUAGUGUCAUGCAUAUGACACUAGUCUAAAUUACUAUUUUUAUAGUGCAAAGUAAUAUAGUAGUAGUGUCAUAGAGGACUUCAUUUAUUAGUUUGUAGACUCAUUUUGUAUUGGGAAGCGCUAUGUUACAGUAACAUAUUAUGUUACCACUUCUCAUUAACUACAUGUCAGAUAAGCAAAAAAAAAUUGAAGUGCGCUAUGUUACUAGCUAAGUUACUCCCGCGCACCUCAAGAAUUUUUUGCUUAUGUGGCAAGUAGUUAAUAAGAAGUAGUAACAUAAUAUGUUACUGUAACAUAGCGCUUUCCAAGACAACAUGAGUCUACAAGCUAUUAAAUGAGGCUACAUAUGACACUAGUAUUAUGUUACUUUGCACUAUGAAAAUAAUAAUUUAGACUAGUGUCAUACAUAUGACACUAGUCUAAGUUACUCCCCACUAUAACCAGCCUCAGUGUAGUACUCCCUCCGUUUCAUAGUAUAUGACGUUUUGACACUAAUAUACAGUGUCAAAAAUAUUCUUAUAUUACGGAACCAAGGAUUAGUACUUACGUACAGUGUAACCGUAAUUUUGUUUGGUGUACUGGUCAUGAGUCAUCCGUAGCUUCAUUUCGCCUGCCCGUGCAGCCCCGUGCGUGCAUGGCGACUAUUCGUUUAUUCCUUCUCGAUGUUA